GUUUGCGCACACCACAAUGGUUGCUGUUGAUUUCAUCGAUCUGUUUGUUGAUCAGAUUGGUGCUAUUCCAUAUACAGGUUGACUAUUUUGAUUGGAGCAGUGUCUUUACUAAAGUCUGCGUGCACAUUACAAUUGGUGUGGUAUCAAACUCAUGACAAUGAAUUGGCUGCAAAAUCUUCUGUUUUUAAAUAUCUUUCUUUUCUAUUAUGUAAUUGGCUACAAUUUAGUUCUCGUGGAUGCUGCUUUUUGAUUGCAUUCAAAGUAAACUUCAAAAGAUCCAUUGCUUUGAGAUUGGAUAUGAUUUUCCUUCUUAAAAAUUCACAACUUUUUUAAGGUAGUUUAUAAUAAGAAUGAAGUACCUUAAUAUUUGGGAGGCGUAAGACUACUAACCUUGAGUCUCAACUCCAACCUCCACUCUUCUUUCAUCUAAAGGCUUGAUGAUAUGAGUAUAUAUGAUGCACCCAGCUUGCCAAGCCUCUAGAAGAGGAAAACAAGGUACAAUGAUCCCACAUGCAGCAUGUUAAUUUUAUGAUCCCGUAGAGGACAUAAUAAUCAACCCAGCUUCUGCCUAAGGAAAACCAAGGCACUUAUAUCAUUCUGAUCUAUCCCCGCAAAA